rnacentral:rRNA from 1 species
CCUACGGGAGGCAGCAGUGGGGAAUAUUGGACAAUGGGCGAAAGCCUGAUCCAGCCAUGCCGCGUGUGUGAAGAAGGCCUUCGGGUUGUAAAGCACUUUCAGUGGGGAAGAAAGCCUUGGGGCUAAUACCCUCGAGGAAGGACAUCACCCACAGAAGAAGCACCGGCUAACUCCGUGCCAGCAGCCGCGGUAAUACGGAGGGUGCGAGCGUUAAUCGGAAUUACUGGGCGUAAAGCGCGCGUAGGCGGUCUGAUAAGCCGGUUGUGAAAGCCCCGGGCUCAACCUGGGAACGGCAUCCGGAACUGUCAGGCUAGAGUGCAGGAGAGGAAGGUAGAAUUCCCGGUGUAGCGGUGAAAUGCGUAGAGAGCGGGAGGAAUACCAGUGGCGAAGGCGGCCUUCUGGACUGACACUGACGCUGAGGUGCGAAAGCGUGGGUAGCAAACAGGAUUAGAUACCCCGGUAGUC